AUUAACCUGUGUUGUACGAUGACUCGUUAUUUUGAACCUACAACUCAACUCAGGGAGACGGAUAUGCGAAAAACAAUGUCGGGCCCCAACCUAAUACGCUUUGCGCAGGGGAAGGCAAUAGUUUGGACUUAGUCACCCACCUAGCUAUGCUAGGGCGUCAAAAUUGCGAGGACGGCAAGAUGGGGAAAUG
rnacentral:other from 1 species